rnacentral:rRNA from 1 species
AUUGAACGCUGGCGGCAGGCCUAACACAUGCAAGUCGAGCGGAUGAAGGGAGCUUGCUCCUGGAUUCAGCGGCGGACGGGUGAGUAAUGCCUAGGAAUCUGCCUGGUAGUGGGGGAUAACGUCCGGAAACGGGCGCUAAUACCGCAUACGUCCUGAGGGUGAAAGUGGGGGAUCUUCGGACCUCACGCUAUCAGAUGAGCCUAGGUCGGAUUAGCUAGUUGGUGGGGUAAAGGCCUACCAAGGCGACGAUCCGUAACUGGUCUGAGAGGAUGAUCAGUCACACUGGAACUGAGACACGGUCCAGACUCCUACGGGAGGCAGCAGUGGGGAAUAUUGGACAAAGGGCGAAAGCCUGAUCCAGCCAUGCCGCGUGUGUGAAGAAGGUCUUCGGAUUGUAAAGCACUUUAAGUUGGGAGGAAGGGCAGUAAGUUAAUACCUUGCUGUUUUGACGUUACCAACAGAAUAAGCACCGGCUAACUACGUG